GACGAACGCUGGCGGCGUGCUUAACGCAUGCAAGUCGAACGGAAAGGCCCUGCUUUUGUGGGGUGCUCGAGUGGCGAACGGGUGAGUAACACGUGAGUAACCUGCCCUUGACUUUGGGAUAACUUCAGGAAACUGGGGCUAAUACCGGAUAGGAGCUCCUGCUGCAUGGUGGGGGUUGGAAAGUUUCGGCGGUUGGGGAUGGACUCGCGGCUUAUCAGCUUGUUGGUGGGGUACUGGCUUACCAAGGCUUUGACGGGUAGCCGGCCUGAGAGGGUGACCGGCCACAUUGGGACUGAGAUACGGCCCAGACUCCUACGGGAGGCAGCAGUGGGGAAUAUUGCACAAUGGGCGGAAGCCUGAUGCAGCAACGCCGCGUGCGGGAUGACGGCCUUCGGGUUGUAAACCGCUUUCGCCUGUGACGAAGCGUGAGUGACGGUAAUGGGUAAAGAAGCACCGGCUAACUACGUG
rnacentral:rRNA from 1 species